rnacentral:rRNA from 1 species
GGAUAACCUACCCUUAGGACUGGGAUAACCCUGGGAAACUGGGGCUAAUACCGGAUAGGCAAUUAUUCCUGCAAUGGUUUUUUGUUUAAAUGUUUUUUCGCCUAAGGAUGAGUCUGCGGCCGAUUAGGUAGUUGGUUAGGUAAUGGCUUACCAAGCCGUUGAUCGGUACGGGUUGUGAGAGCAAGAGCCCGGAGAUGGAACCUGAGACAAGGUUCCAGGCCCUACGGGGUGCAGCAGGCGCGAAACCUCCGCAAUGUGAGAAAUCGCGACGGGGGGAUCCCAAGUGCCAUUCUUAACGGGAUGGCUUUUCAUUAGUGUAAAGAGCUUUUGGAAUAAGAGCUGGGCAAGACCGGUGCCAGCCGCCGCGGUAACACCGGCAGCUCUAGUGGUAACAAUUUUUAUUGGGCCUAAAGCGUCCGUAGCCGGUUUAAUAAGUCUCUGGUGAAAUCCUGUAGCUUAACUGUGGGAAUUGCUGGAGAUACUAUUAGACUUGAGACCGGGAGAGGUUAGAGGUACUCCCAGGGUAGAGGUGAAAUUCUGUAAUCCUGGGAGGACCGCCUGUUGCGAAGGCGUCUAACUGGAACGGUUCUGACGGUGAGGGACGAAAGUUAGGGGCGCGAACCGGAUUAGAUACCCGGGUAGUCCUAACUGUAAACGAUGCGGACUUGGUGUUGGGGUGGCUUUGAGCUGC